rnacentral:rRNA from 1 species
UGCGCCUUGCCAGCCCGCUCAGAAACUUAAAGGAAUUGACGGGGCCCGCACAAGCGGAGGAACAUGUGGUUUAAUUCGAUGAUACGCGAGGAACCUUACCUGGGCUAGAACGCAAUCGGAAUCAGGCCGAAAGGCCUGCGCCAGCGAUGGCCGGUUGCGAGGUGCUGCAUGGUUGUCGUCAGCUCGUGCCGUGAGGUGUCGGGUUAAGUCCCAUAACGAGCGCAACCCCUACUGCUAGUUGCCAGCGGGUCAUGCCGGGGACUCUAGCGGAACUGCCAGCGUAAGCUGCGAGGAAGGUGGGGAUGACGUCAAAUCAGCACGGCCCUUACGUCCAGGGCUACACACGUGUUACAAUGGCCAGUACAGAGGGCAGCCACCCCGCGAGGGGGCGCUAAUCCUAAAAGCUGGUCCCAGUUCGGAUCGGAGUCUGCAACCCGACUCCGUGAAGCUGGAUUCGCUAGUAAUCGCGCAUCAGCCACGGCGCGGUGAAUACGUUCCCGGGCCUU